rnacentral:rRNA from 1 species
UAGGUAAUCUGCCUUUCGGUGGGGGAUAACAAGGGGAAACCCUUGCUAAUACCGCAUAUGGUCCACGGAUCAAAGCCUUCGGGCGCCGGAAGAUGAGCCUGCGGCCGAUUAUUUAGUCCUAGUUGGCGGGGUAACGGCCACCAAGGGUACGAUCGGUAGCUGGUCUGAGAGGACGAUCAGCCACACUGGAACUGAGACACGGUCCAGACUCCUACGGGAGGCAG